rfam:Neotoma lepida isolate 417 scaffold_85, whole genome shotgun sequence.
GUUCACUUCCACAGCACACACACUAAAAUUUGGAAUGAUGCAGAGAUUAGCACAGCCCCUGUGCAAGGAUCACAUGGAAAUCCAUGAAGCAUUCUGUAAUUGU